rnacentral:miRNA from 1 species
GAAAUUAUCUGCAGGAAAUGUGAA